GAUGAACGCUAGCGGCAGGCCUAAUACAUGCAAGUCGGACGGGAUUGGAGAGCUUGCUUUCCAUGAGAGUGGCGCACGGGUGCGUAACACGUAUGCAACCUACCUUUAUCAGGGGGAUAGCCUCUCGAAAGAGAGAUUAACACCGCAUAAAAUUAGUUUAUGGCAUCAUAAAUUGAUCAAAUAUUUAUAGGAUAAAGAUGGGCAUGCGGAACAUUAGCUAGUUGGUAAGGUAACGGCUUACCAAGGCGACGAUGUUUAGGGGAUCUGAGAGGAGGACCCCCCACACUGGUACUGAGACACGGACCAGACUCCUACGGGAGGCAGCAGUAAGGAAUAUUGGUCAAUGGGCGGAAGCCUGAACCAGCCAUGCCGCGUGCAGGAAGACGGCCCUACGGGUUGUAAACUGCUUUUGUACGGGAAUAAACCUUGAUACGUGUAUCAAGCUGAAUGUACCGUAAGAAUAAGGAUCGGCUAACUCCGUGCCAGCCGCCGCAGUAAAAC
rnacentral:rRNA from 1 species